AGCGAAGCGGGAAGAGCUCAAAUUUAAAACCCCAGCGUCCUCAGGGCGUUCGAGUUGAAAACAAAAAGACGCGUUUUCUGCGCUGGACUGUGUCCAAGUCCUCUUGGAAUAGGGUAUCAAAGAGGGUGACAAUCCCGUACUUGACACAACAACCAGUGCUCUGUGAUACGUGUUCUACGAGUCGAGUUGUUUGGGAAUGCAGCUCAAAAUGGGUGGUAAAUUCCAUCUAAAGCUAAAUAUAGGCGAGAGACCGAUAGCGAACAAGUACCGUGAGGGAAAGAUGAAAAGCACUUUGGAAAGAGAGUUAAACAGUACGUGAAAUUGUUGAAAGGGAAACGAUUGAAGUCAGUCGUGUUGAUCAGUUUCAGCUAGUUCUGCUAGUGUAUUGCUGGUCAACGGGUCAACAUCAGUUAUAUUCGGUGGAAAAAGGCAUAGAGAAUGUAGCACCUCCGGGUGUGUUAUAGCUCUGUGUCUCAUACACUGGGACGUGAACUGAGGAAUGCAGCUCGCCUUUAUGGCCGGGGUUCGCCCCACG
rnacentral:rRNA from 1 species